CCCUUAGAUGUUCUGGGCCGCACGCGCGCUACACUGACUACUUCAACGAGUUGUUUCCUUGAUCGAAAGGUCUGGGUAAUCUUUGAAAGGUAGUCGUGAUGGGGAUAGAUCCUUGCAAUUUUUGAUCUUCAACGAGGAAUUCCUAGUAAACGCAAGUCAUCAGCUUGCAUUGAUUACGUCCCUGCCCUUUGUACACACCGCCCGUCGCACCUACCGAUUGAAUGGUCCGGUGAAAUCUCGGGACGGCGGCUUGGUCGCUUGCGUCCGACUGCUGAAACUUGAUUAAACCAUAUCAUUUAGAGGAAGGUGAANUCGUAACA
rnacentral:rRNA from 1 species